UACCGGCAGCUCGAGUGAUGGCCGAUCUUAUUGGGCCUAAAGCGUCCGUAGCUGGCCAGACAAGUCCGUCGGGAAAUCCACCUGCUCAACAGGUGGGCGUCCGGCGGAAACUCUCUGGCUUGGGACCGGAAGACCCGAGGGGUACGUCCGGGGUAGGAGUGAAAUCCCGUAAUCCUGGACGGACCGCCGAUAGCGAAAGCACCUCGGGAAGACGGAUCCGACAGUGAGGGACGAAAGCUGGGGUCUCGAACCGG
rnacentral:rRNA from 1 species